AAAAAGACAAACCCUUGGUUUCCGUGUCCAACUUUAUCUGUCUAUUUUAUAUGAAUUUUUUUUAUAAUUUAUAUUUUUAUUGUUGUUAGAUGAUAAAACAUGAUUAAUACUUUGUGCGUGACUUAUCUUUUUAAUUUUUUUCAUAAAUUUUUUAAAUAAGACGGACGGUCAAACGUUGGACACGGAAACCAGGGUUUGUCUUUUU
rnacentral:pre_miRNA from 1 species